AGUGAACGCUGGCGGUAGGCCUAACACAUGCAAGUCGAACGGCAGCACAGUAAGAGCUUGCUCUUACGGGUGGCGAGUGGCGGACGGGUGAGGAAUACAUCGGAAUCUACUUUUUCGUGGGGGAUAACGUAGGGAAACUUACGAUAAUACCGCAUACGACCUACGGGUGAGAGCAGGGGAUCUUCGGACCUUGCGCGGCUCAAUGAGCCGAUGUCGGAUUAGCUAGUUGGCGGGGUAAAGGACCACCAAGGCAACGAUCCGAAGCUGACCUGAGAGGAUGAUCAGCCACACUGGAACUGAGACACGGUCCAGACUCCUACGGGAGGCAGCAGUGGGGAAUAUUGGACAAUGGGCGCAAGCCUGAUCCAGCCAUGCCGCGUGGGUGAAGAAGGCCUUCGGGUUGUAAAGCCCUGUUGUUGGGAAAGAAAAGCAGCAGGAUAAUACCCCGCUGUUCUGACGGUACCCAAAGAAUAAGCACCGGCUAACUUCGUG
rnacentral:rRNA from 1 species